rnacentral:rRNA from 1 species
UACGUAGGCAGCGAGCGUUGUUCGGAGUUACUGGGCGUAAAGAGUGCGUAGGCGGCGUUCCAAGUUUGGUGUGAAAUCUCCGGGCUUAACUCGGAAUGGUCAGGUGAUACUGCUUUGCUAGAGUGCAGAAGGGGCAAUCGGAAUUCUUGGUGUAGCGGUGAAAUGCGUAGAUAUCAAGAGGAACACCUGAGGUGAAGACGGGUUGCUGGGCUGACACUGACGCUGAGGCGCGAAAGCUAGGGGGAGCAAACGGG